CCCGCCCGCUGAGGAGAUGGAUGAGGACGGGCUUCCUCUCAUGGGGUCAGGCAUAGACCUGACCAAGGUGCCAGCUAUUCAACAGAAAAGAACGGUGGCUUUUCUAAACCAAUUUGUGGUGCACACUGUACAGUUCCUCAACCGCUUUUCUACAGUUUGUGAGGAGAAACUGGCAGACCUUUCGCUUCGUAUCCAACAAAUUGAAACAACUCUCAAUAUUUUAGAUGCAAAGUUGUCAUCUAUCCCAGGCCUAGAUGAUGUCACAGUUGAAGUAUCUCCUUUAAAUGUCACCAGUGUCACAAAUGGAGCACAUCCUGAAGCCGCUUCAGAGCAACCACAGCAGAACAGUACACACGACUCUGGACUACAGGAAAGUGAAGUAUCAGCAGAAAAUAUCUUAACUGUAGCCAAGGAUCCAAGAUAUGCCAGAUAUCUCAAAAUGGUUCAAGUGGGUGUACCAGUGAUGGCAAUAAGAAACAAAAUGAUAUCAGAAGGACUAGACCCAGAUCUUCUUGAGUAAGUAAUUCUUCUAAUAUAAUGAUAUUAUUGCCAGGACAUUUAAUUUUUCA
rnacentral:sRNA from 1 species